UACGUAGGGUGCGAGCGUUAAUCGGAAUUACUGGGCGUAAAGCGUGCGUAGGUGGUUCGUUGUGUCUGUGGUGAAAGCCCCGGGCUUAACCUGGGAAUGGCCAUGGAAACUGGCGAGCUGGAGUGUGGCAGAGGGGGGUGGAAUUCCGCGUGUAGCAGUGAAAUGCGUAGAGAUGCGGAGGAACACCGAUGGCGAAGGCAGCCCCCUGGGCUAACACUGACGCUGAGGCACGAAAGCGUGGGGAGCAAACAGG
rnacentral:rRNA from 2 species